GAGCGGGUAAAGGAAGCUAGACUACAAACCUUAAUGAAUGAAUUCGACAGAUUAAAGAUGAAAGAAAACGAGAGUAUUGAUGAUUUUAGUGGAAAACUAUCACAGCUUGCGUCCAAGUCAUCUGCGCUAGGAGUUAAUAUUGAAGAAACAAAACUUGUGAAGAAGUUUCUCUCGAGUUUACCUCGAAAGAAAUUCAUACAUAUAGUUGCUUCGCUGGAGCAAGUCUUGGAUCUCAAUACAGUCAACUUUGAAGACAUUAUUGGACAUCUAAAAACAUACGAAGAGAGAAUUUGUGAUGACAAAGAUGGUGAGGAUGAACAAACGAAGUUGUUGUACGCAACUAACGACGGGCAGAAUCGCUCGUCUACCUCUGAUCAAUCUAACCGUGGUCCGCAAGAAAGCAACUACUAUGGUGAUUCCUAUAGAGGACGAGGUAGAGGAGGACGUUCUUACUACAGAGGAAGAGGACGUGGUCGGCACAAUGGAGGAGGAUACAAUGGAGGAAGAGGAUACAAUGGAGGAGGAUACAAUGGAGGAGGCUACAAUGGAGGAAGAGGUUAUGCUGAAAGAGAUGCAUCUAAGAUAACUUGCUUCCGAUGCGAUAAGGUCGGACACAUUGUAGCCCAAUGUCCAGAGCUCCUUCUCAAGCUGCAGGAGGUGCAAGAAACCGACAACACCGACACACACGAGGCCGACGAACUGUUGAUGCAUGAGGUAAUGUUUUUAAAUGAAAGGAACGUUCUACCUGAGAAGUAUGAAACAAAUUGUGGAGGAGAAAACAUAUGGUAUCUUGAUAAUGGAGAAAGCAACCAUUUGACCGGAGAUCAAAGGUAUUUUUCAAGCAUCGACAACACCAUUACGGGAAAAGUUAGAUUCGGGGAUGAUUCGCGAAUUGAUAUCAAAGGUAAAGGAAUGAUAUCAUUCACUGAUAUGAAUGGGGCGUCACGAAAGAUGACAGAUGUCUACUUCAUCCCUGAUCUAAAGAGUAACAUCAUCAGCUUAGGGCAAGCUACAGAAGCCGGAUGCGACAUAAGAUUAAGAGGAGAAGAGCUAACAAUGCAUGAUCAACAUGGAACUCUACUUGUAAAUGCUAAACGUUCAAGGAACAGGCUGUAUAAAGUUCACAUGGGACUAAGAAGCAACACACGCCUUUACUUGACGUCAACUAAUGAGACAAAACGUUGGCACGCACGCUUAGGAAAUAUAAACUCAGAGUCAUUGAAGGGUAUGAUACAUAAGGAACUCGUGCUUGGUCUCCCGAAGCUAAGCAUGGAAAAAGAAGUUCGUGGAUCAUGUUUGCUUCGGAAUCAAGCAAGGAAAUCAUUUCCUAAAGCCACCGCGUAUCGAGCAAGUGAGACACUUGAGCUACUUCACGGAGAUCUUUGUGGACCUAUAACACCAAACACACCUACUGGCAACAUGUAUAUCUUUGUCGUUAUUGAUGAUCAUACCAGAUAUAUGUGGACGAUGUUGUUACAAAAGAAAAGUGAAGCAUUCAGCAAGUUUAAAAGACUCAAAGUUCUAGUUGAAAGAGAAAUGGGAAAGAAGAUAAGAACUUUCAGAACUGAUAGAGGCGGAGAGUUUGUAUCAAGAGAAUUUGAUGCAUAUUGCGAGAGUUUCGGGAUCAAGCGGCAUCUAACCGCCCCAUACACGCCACAACAAAACGGUGUCGUGGAGCGCAGAAACAGAACCUUGAUGGAGAUGGCAAGAAGCAUUCUAAAACAUAUGCAUAUGCCAAACUAUCUUUGGGGGGAAGCUAUUCGACAUUCUACAUAUCUUAUCAAUCGUGUAACCACGCGAUCAUUAAAGAAGAAGACGCCGUAUGAAGGACUACGCCAUAAGAAGCCGAGCAUUGAGCACUUAAGAGUUUUUGGGUGUAUAGCGUAUGCAAAGGUAGACACAAAGUUCUUGAAGAGGCUGGAUGAUCGAGCACGAAUGCUGGUACACUUGGGAACAGAGCCCGGAUCGAAGGCUUAUCGCCUUUACGAUCCACAAACACGUCGAGUAGUGGUCAGCAGAGAUGUAGUGUUCGAUGAAAGUAAAGGUUGGAAUUGGAGCUCAGACGAAACAGAGGAACAGAGCAUGGGAAAUUUUGAAGUGACGCUAGGGACGUUUGGGAAUCAUGGGAUAGAUGAUCAUAUCGCCUCUUAUGAUGAGCAAAAGUAUCUGGAACAGGGUACGAACGACGAAACUGUUCCAUCUGAGAAUAUAGAGAAUGUAGACAAUGAAGAAGAAGAAAUACAAGAGUUAAGACGAUCAGAGAGACAACACACAAGACCGAAGUAUGUCGACGAUUACAUACUUCUUGCCGAAGAACUUGGAGAAGAGAUUCUCCUGUAUUUAAAUAAUGAGCCACGAGAUUAUGGUGAAGCUAAAUAAUCAGCCGAAUGGAAGCGAGCCUGUGAAGAAGAGAUACAUUCGAUCGAAAAGAAUAAUACAUGGAUUUUAGUCGAUCUUCCUUAUGGGGCAACACCAAUUGGACUAAACUGGGUGUUCAAGAUCAAAUGAAACGCCGAUGGAAGCAUUAACAAGUAUAAGUCAAGGUUAGUUGCAAAAGGAUACGUGCAACGACAUGGAAUCGAUUAUGAUGAGGUCUUCGCGCCAGUAGCUCGACUAGAGACAAUAAGACUUCUCGUCAACCUAGCUGCGACAAACGGAUGGGAAGUUCACCACUUAGAUGUAAAGACAGCGUUACUGCAUGGAGAAUUAAAAGAAACAGUCUAUGUUAAGCAACCUGAGGGUUAUGAGAAGAGGGGAGAAGAAAGAAAAGUUUACAAGCUUAACAAAGCAUUAUAUGGGCUCCGGCAAGCACCGCGAGCUUGGAACCACAAGUUGAAUCAAAUCCUCUGUGAGCUUGGAUUCAAGAAGUGCUCAAAAGAACCCUCAGUAUAUCAGAAGACAGUAAAAGGCGACAUACUAGUGGUUGCAGUCUACGUUGACGACCUGUUUGUAACCAGUACCAACAUCAAGCUCAUCGGAGAGUUCAAGGAGAGGAUGUCAACCAAAUUUGAUAUGAGCGACCUUGGCAAGCUUACAUAUUACCUUGGCAUUGAGGUGUGUCAACAUCAGAACGGGAUCACGCUUGUGCAAAGAAGAUAUGCAAUGAAGAUAUUAGAAGAUGAUGGAAUGGAUAAAUGUAAUUCUGUUCAAACUCCAAUGGAAAGUGGUCUAAAGCUGUCGAAAGCAGAACACGAAAAAGAAAUAGACGCGACGAGGUUUAGAAGAAACAUCGGAUGCUUGCGAUACCUUAUCCACACACGGCCUGAUCUCGCAUAUAGUGUGGGAGUUCUGUCACGUUUCAUGCAAAGUCCGCGUGAGUCACAUGGGAUUGCGAUGAAGCAGAUAUUGCGGUACUUGCGUGGAAGAUCAAAAUUGUAAAUAACAUGAUCAUCCAAGUUUUAUAACUUCCCGCCCGUAGGCGGGCAGGCCCUAGUUAUAAUUAUUAUAUCCAAACUUUCGUCAAUAAUCCAAAUCAAAGAUUCAAAAUCUAUCGGCAUAAUUAUAGUAGUUGCAUAUUAGUACUGCAAACUAUUUUUCUUUUGAGUUAUUUGUGUGUAAAGUAAAUAAAAUUUUGAAAAUUUUAUGUUUGUAUUAAUCUAAUUAAAUUAAAAAACCAGAUUAUAUGACCAAGAUAAUCAGUGUCCUGCUAAGUUGUUAGGGUCUUAGACCAUUUUCAAAAUAAAACUUAAUUAUAUUUUUUUUAAAGAAUAAUUCUAUAAUAGAGUAUAUUUUUUUUAACUCUACUCUAUUUUAGAGUAAAUAAUAGAGCAAUAAAAAAAUGUAUUAUUUCCUUUUUGAAGUAAACCUAUUUUUAUAUUAUUAUAAAGUGAAAAAUAGAAUAAGGUUUGAGCAUUUAUAAUUUCAAACUCCAUUUUAAAGUGAAAAGUGGAAUGGAGUAGGAAAUGCUCAGGUUAAACACUAAAUUUUGUAGUGUUUAACCUGAGCAUUUCCCACUCCAUUCCACUUUUCACUUUAAAAUGGAGUUUGAAAUUAUAAAUGCUCAAACUUUAUUCUAUUUUUCACUCUAAAGACGGAUAUUUUUCUCCGAUUAGAGAUCAUCUAUGUAUCAAGGACGCAAAAUUCAAAAGCGGAUAGUUUAGCACGCAGUGCAAGAAAGUAACCGUCUUUCGUCGUUCACUAAAUUUUAUUUUAGUAAUGAUUAUGAUCGUAUAGUUUCAAAAUUUGUACGAUACUCCAUAAUUUCAUGGAGACAUCAUUGGUUUUCCCAAGUUUAGAUUCAGUUUUGGAUCACAGUAAAUAAUGUGAUCAAAAUGUUUAAUGCGAUUCCAUCAGCUACUUCCUCGCACAUCCAAAAUUGUUUCCGCAUAUUAGCCAAACUGUCAGUUAUACUGUACAAUAUUUUUUAAUACCUAGUGGAUAGGGCUGGGGACAGAUUAGAUAUCCGGGUUUAUGGAAAAAUAUAGGGGUAAUUUCAUGUUUACCGCUUUCAUAGUGUUAUUAUUCAUCUUUACCACUACUAAAGAGACAUUUUCAAAAAUAUUUUAUUCAUUAAGUGGUAAAAGACUCGUAUACUCUUGUUCUCUACGUAUAUAUAAUAAAUAAUUAUUUAAAUAAAUAAAUAAAUAUUAAAAAAUAAACUUUUUUAUGUUUUCGAAUCAUACUUUUUCAAAUUCGAACUUUUUAUAAAUUUUAUUUUGAAUUUUUUUUCGAAUUUUUUUUUUCAAAAUUUCUUUUUGAAAAUCAAAAAUUAUGUUUGAAACUAUUUUUUUAAUAUGUAUUAAUAUAUUUAUUAGAAUCCUAAAUUUCACAUUCCAAAAAUCCAAUUUCAUCCUCAACUCUAAACCCUAAAUCUAGAGUAGUUAACCCUAGGGAUAUAAAUGUUUUUUUAUCCUUUAUUAAAUGUGAGAGUAAAAGUAUUUAGUGUAAACAUGAAAAAUGGUGGUAUUUGUGGCAAUUUUUCAAUAUAUAUAUAUUCUCAACAUUUUGGAACCAUUAUAUAACGUUUCUCAAGAAAUUCUAAAUGGGAGAGUUCAGAAUUUGUUAUUCCAUUAAAAUACACUGUCUUUAUUUCUAAAAAAUAAAGUUUAAAGAUAAUAAUUUUUAAAAGGAUUUUUCUUUUAAAAAUUAUAUAAUUUUUAUUAGUUAAUAAUCGUAAAUGGUAAACUUAAAAAAAUUAAUACUUCCUCUGUUUUUGAAACUAAGAUUAUUUAGAUUUUUUUUGUUUAACAGUAAUAAAUUUUUUAAAUUAUUUUAAGGUAUUUUGCAUAAUUUUAAGAACAUUAAAGGAAAAUAUUUAAACUGAUUACAUAUCAAUGGUUGAUAGUUAUUAGAAAUUUUAUAGUAAAAAUAAAUAAUAAAUUUAAUUAUAAACAUUCAUUGUAUUUUUAAUAUGUAUCAUAUAGUGUUUUAUAUAAAUGAUAUAAAUAUACAUUGUAUCCGAAUACUCUAGAAAAAAAUAUUUGGGAAAGGAGAGAGUAGUAUUUAUUAAAAUAUUACUAGUUUAAAAUAAUGAUACUAACUUACACAAGUGACCCGUUUUAUAAAGUCUAAUUUCAUAAACCAGUGACCACGUAAUAUGGCUUUUCGUAAUUAGCAAAUAGUUUAUGUUUUCAUAAUUGUCAGUUGACCUAAUUAAAAUAUAGUAUGAACUAUAAUUAAUCAGCAAUUACUACGUAUUAUACUUAGGAAUCAAUGUGCUAUGUGGUAAUCCAUGAUGUCAUACGGUUUUAAAAAACUAUUAUUUCUACCAAAUAUGUGAUUAGUUUGUCGUUCGAAUUAAAAAAAGUUUUGCUUACUGUCGACCCUGAUCAUUAUAAUGAGACUCUUAUGUUUUUUUUUUCCGUAGUUUCUCAUCAGCUUGUUUGUAAUCUGACGAGCUCAUUGAUUCUCCUUUGUACGUAUUUAUCAGUGAAUAUAGAUUACAAAUGUUUCCUAUAAUCAUUAAGUUUUUACGUAUAGGCAUAGUUGGAACAUUAUUGAUUCACAUAAUAAAGCCAGCUAAGUGAGAGCGAUAGUAGUGGUAGAUGUUGGAUUAAGCUUGAAGUAGCUUUAGAUACAAGCUACCUAAUCUUAAAGUGUUGUGGUUAUCUAUAAGGAUUAGGAAAUAUCAUAUUAUGUUAUUCCUAAUGAGUUUAGGAAGUUUAGAGUCAUAUAUAAGGAGAUGCUAAUGUGUAGCAUAACUUGUGAGUUUUAUGAUUUUGAGAGCUUGAGGUUUUGAGAUAGUUUCCUCAAGAGAUUAAUAAGAAGAGUUCUUAUUUUGUGAGUUCAUACAAUCUUACUUUCGAAAACUUGAUUUCUAGAUUUGGUAUCAGAGCGAAACAAAGAUCAUGAGUGAUAUUGUGCCAGCGAUUGGUAAGAUAAAAGAAGGAGGGGGUUCUUCUUCCAUAAAGUGUCCUAUGCUAACUUCAACAAAUUAUACAGUAUGGGCUAUGAGGAUGAAGAUCACACUGAAAGUACACAAGGCCUCGGAGGCAAUAGAGAUCGAGACUGUGAGUACUGAUAAAAAUGAUCUAGCUUUAGCGUUGCUGUUUCAAUCAAUACCAAAAUCUCUAAUUCUUCAAGUAGGAGAACUUGAGAACGCUAAACAAGUAUGGAAUGCCAUCAAAGUGAGAUAUGUAGGGGCUGAGCGGGUAAAUGAAGCUAGACUACAAACCUUAAUGAAUGAAUUCGACAGAUUAAAGAUGAAAGAAAACGAGAAUAUUGAUGAUUUUAGUGGAAUACUAUCAGAGCUUGCGUCCAAGUCAUCUGCGCUAGGAGUUAAUAUUGAAGAAACAAAACUUGUGAAGAAGUUUCUCUCGAGUUUACCUCGAAAGAAAUUCAUACAUAUAGUUGCUUCGCUGGAGCAAGUCUUGGAUCUCAAUACAGUCAACUUUGAAGACAUUAUUGGACGUCUAAAAGCAUACGAAGAGAGAAUUUGUGAUGACAAAGAUGGUGAGGAUGAACAAACGAAGUUGUUGUAUGCAACUAACGACGGGCAGAAUCGCUCGUCUACCUCUGAUCAAUCAAACCGUGGUCCGCAAGAAAGCAACUACUAUGGUUAUUCCUCUGAGGAC
rnacentral:lncRNA from 1 species